rnacentral:rRNA from 1 species
AAUUAUUUAUUUGAUGGUUUCUUACUACAUGGAUAACUGUAGUAAUUCUAGAGCUAAUACAUGCGUAAAAUCCCGACUCUCGCGGGGAGGGAUGUAUUUAUUAGAUAAAAAACCAAUGCGGCCUUUGGCCGGUUUUGUGGUGAAUCAUAGUAACUUUUCGGAUCGCAUGGCUUCACGCCGGCGACAGUUCAUUCAAAUUUCUGCCCUAUCAGCUUUCGACGGUAGUGUAGUGGACUACCGUGGCAUUUACGGGUGACGGAGAAUUAGGGUUCGAUUCCGGAGAGGGAGCCUGAGAAACGGCUACCACA